rnacentral:SRP_RNA from 1 species
GCCGGGUGUUGUGGCAGGCGCCUGUACUCCCAGCUACUUGGGAGGCUGAGGCAAGAGAAUAGCCUAAGCCUAGGAGGUGGAGGUUGCUGUGAGCUGUGAUGCCACACUACUCUAUCAAUGGUGACAAAGUGAAAAUCUGAAAGGAUUUUUUUUUUUAAGAGACAGAGCCUCAAGCUGUCCCCCUGGGUAGAGUGCUGUAGCAUCACAGCUCACAGCAACCUCCAACUCCUGGGCUCAAGUGAGUCUCCUGCCUCCA